CAAGAGGAAAGAUGCAGCCGGAAGAGGAAGAGGAGGAUGGAGCCAUGUAAAGGGGAGGCCUGGUCCGGACUCCCACAAGCCCCGGCGUCCUAGGAC